CACCUACUCACUCCGUCCAAUAAAAGAUGUCUCAACUUUGACUAAAUUUGAAUGCAUCUAUACACUAAGUCUUGUUUAGAUACAUCCAAUUUUGACAAAAUUGAGACAUCUUUUGUUGGACGGAGAAAGUAGGUG
rfam:Brachypodium distachyon strain Bd21 chromosome 1, whole genome shotgun sequence.